rnacentral:tRNA from 1 species
GUCCUAGUAAUUUAACAAAAAUACUAGCCUUGUAAGCUAAUAAUGGAAGCAAACCCCUCCCUAGGACA